GAGUUGAUCGUGGCUCAGAUUGAACGCUGGCGGCAUGCCUUACACAUGCAAGUCGAACGGCAGCAUGAUCUAGCUUGCUAGAUUGAUGGCGAGUGGCGAACGGGUGAGUAAUACAUCGGAACGUGCCCUGUAGUGGGGGAUAACUAGUCGAAAGAUUAGCUAAUACCGCAUACGACCUGAGGGUGAAAGUGGGGGACCGCAAGGCCUCAUGCUAUAGGAGCGGCCGAUGUCUGAUUAGCUAGUUGGUGGGGUAAAGGCCCACCAAGGCGACGAUCAGUAGCUGGUCUGAGAGGACGAUCAGCCACACUGGGACUGAGACACGGCCCAGACUCCUACGGGAGGCAGCAGUGGGGAAUUUUGGACAAUGGGCGAAAGCCUGAUCCAGCAAUGCCGCGUGUGUGAAGAAGGCCUCGGUGUAAG
rnacentral:rRNA from 1 species